UUAUCACCAUGUCCAUGUGAGUUUUUCCUGUGUGGAUGUGUGUGUGUUCAUGGUGCCCUGCGAUGGACUAGCAUUUCCAUUUAGGGCCAGAACUAAAACACAAGAGCACAUUGACUCCACUGAAGAAAGCCCACAGCCAUACCUGCUUACCAUGGGUACAAAGAAGAACAGCAUUUAUUUAUUUUACAUCAUUCCCAACAAGAAAACCAUACCAUGCAAGUCAGUGAGUGGUUGUGCCUUUGAUGAACGUUUUAGGGCUCACUUUGUGUUUGGUGCAUCUUACAGCACAACAUGUUCUUUCAGACGCUUGCAUUCCAGUCUUCCUGGCUCUUUUAGGAUGUCUUGUUAAAAAUGUAAGUGACUGUAUUCGCCUUUCUAAUGCAAAUGCUGUCCCACAUGUGAGGUGGUAAGUGUAACUCAGUAUAGUGAAACACAUUAUGAUAGAAUAGUGAUGAGAUCAGUGUUAUCGCACCCCCCAUGCCCUGCAGUUUACCUGUCUCUCUCACUGGCAGUCACACAGAUCAGCAGGGCUUUGUACCAUAUCUUUCAAGCAUAGUCAUCAUCAGAAAUUUUGGACCAUGCAUUGAAAUAUUUGUCCAUAUUCACACAGAGUGCAUGUAAGAGUACAUUUCAAGAAGAAUACAUACUUCUUA